rnacentral:ncRNA from 1 species
UCGGGUCCAAUGCAGUCACCCGGCCGCUUCAAGGCAUUUUGCCCAAGCUCUGC